UCUAAUAUGGCAGAAAAGUGCAGUAGAUUUAAGCUCUACAUAUAAAGUUUUUACACUUUUAUUAGAA
rnacentral:tRNA from 1 species